UGCUUUCCAUGUUUGUGUCAUUUUUCUGGUGAGGACUCCCUAUUUUGUGAUCUUCAUUAGCCCAGAAAGUCACUAGAAUCUCUUAUUAAUCCUUCCUGCACAUCUCUUAUUUUCAGACAAUUGCAUGGAACCAACAUGUGAUGUGAAACACAUUUUUGUAAUGGGACUUCUCCCUGUCACCACAUUCAACAUUCAUUUCCUCCCCUUUUCUCACUUUUCAGGUUGUUGACAUAAAAUCGAUGGUGAUGAGGCCUGUUCUGAUCAGAGUGUAUCUAUAAAAGGAGAGUCGCAGGUCAGGGCACCCAGAAGAACCCUCUGUAGAGAAGGGCAGAAGGAGAGAAACAUCAAUCUUCUGCCUCCCUCACGCCCACCACUGCAGACCCAGGCAGGCAUGUGCCCUGAUUUGGAAUCAAACCAAUGACCUUUCAGUGAAUGUGAUCAUCCCCAACAAAAUAAGACACAGACAACAGCACCACUGGAGGCCCCAGCACCAAUAUUUGCAAUGAUCAGUCAGUGAUUGAGAUUCUAAUUCCACCUGAUGGGCCUGGAAAAGCUCCAGCGCUGGGUCACAACUAGGACCAGGCUUCAGAGGCACUGUCCCCAUGGUGCAGUGGUUUGUCUGAAGCUUGUUGAGCAGCAACAGUCAGUAUUGAGGCCUAUGUGCCUCCCAGACUCCGUUUUGCUUGAAGACUUCUACUCAGCCUCACUCCAUUUACCCUCCAUCCUUACAUGCUGGUACCUGUCAGAUCCUGAAACCCAGGUCACUGAGUCCAGAACAGUGAGUUGCUUGUGGGUGAUACCUGUUGUGAUGGGUGAAAGAGGGUGACAGGCUUCAAUGAGUGUAAGAUUGUGGUUGGUGUGGCUGAGCUGGGAGGAUUCGGGAAUCCUGGGCUUGUUUUGUAUCUAAAGGCAACAGAGAAGACGAGGCAAAGUAUUUGGUGAGAAGUUUCAGUUUAAUUUUCAGGAUCCUAGGGCCAUCGAUGGUGGAGAAUAAAAGAGGGACAUUGUCUGAAAUAGGGUUUUAAACUCUUCCCAACUGCUGGGAAUGAAACUA